CAGCCGCCGCGGGAAAACCAGCACCUCGAGUGGUCAGGAGGUUUAUUGGGCCUAAAGCAUCCGUAGCCGGUUGCAUAAGUUUUCGGUUAAAUCUAUGCGCUUAACGUAUAGGCCGCCGAAAAUACUGUGCAGCUAGGGAGUGGGAGAGGUACACGGUACUCGAUAGGAAGGGGUAAAAUCCUUUGAUCUAUUGAUGACCACCUGUGGCGAAGGCGGUGUACCAGAACACGUUCGACGGUGAGGGAUGAAAGCUGGGGGAGCAAACCGGAUUAGAGACCCCGGUAGUCCCUGUCUCUUAUAA
rnacentral:rRNA from 1 species